rnacentral:rRNA from 1 species
AUGAACGCUGGCGGCGUGCCUAAUACCUGCAAGUCGCGCGAACGGACGAGAAGCUUGCUCCUCUGAUGUUAGCGGCGGACGGGUGAGUAACACGUGGAUAACCUACCUAUAAGACUGGGAUAACUUCGGGAAACCGGAGCUAAUACCGGAUGAUAUUUUGAACCGCAUGGUUCAAAAGUGAAAGACGGUCUUGCUGUCACUUAUAGAUGGAUCCGCGCUGCAUUAGCUAGUUGGUAAGGUAACGGCUUACCAAGGCAACGAUGCAUAGCCGACCUGAGAGGGUGAUCGGCCACACUGGAACUGAGACACGGUCCAGACUCCUACGGGAGGCAGCAGUAGGGAAUCUUCCGCAAUGGGCGAAAGCCUGACGGAGCAACGCCGCGUGAGUGAUGAAGGUCUUCGGAUCGUAAAACUCUGUUAUUAGGGAAGAACAUAUGUGUAAGUAACUGCGCACAUCUUGACGGUACCUAAUCAGAAAGCCACGGCUAACUACGUG